CUCUCCACCAUCGCCGCGCUGACGGCCUGGUCCCUCUGGCGUCAUCACAAUGCUAUCAUCUUCGACAAGAUCACACCCUCCUCCGCCUCUCUUCUGGUCGCAAUACAGGACGACGCCCGCUCCUGGGCCCGCACAGGAGCCAAAGGACAUAACAACAUCAUCCCUGUAACGUAG
rnacentral:rRNA from 1 species